CGUAUUUCUCAUUUUUCAGGGUGACCCUGGAUUGCAAGGUCCUCCUGGAAUGCGUGGACGUAAUGGAGAUGACGGGGCUCCUGGUCCCACCGGCGAACCUGGAGAAGAGGGGCCCGCAGGAGAACAGGGACCAGUCGGUAUUCCGGGAGCACGUGGGUUACCAGGAAUCAAGGGCGACAGGGUAAGUUCAGUAUCUUCUCAGCAAAGCACCCGGACUGCGCACUGUUUGACGGUAUUUUGACAAAACAAGUGUUCUCAGGUAACAUACAAAACGAUAUAAUUAACAUUGCAUUCUUCUCGAGAUAUUUCCUUAACAAUGUAUGUUACUCAAAUCAACAAUGUGAUUAACACUUAGAAUGUUUGGUACAAUACUUUUAAAAGUUAACUAUCAUCUUUCGUUACUACAAGUAGUAUAUCCGAGAUGGCUAAAUGAAUGAGCUAUGAAUACCGAGCAGGUUUAAUGAGAUGCGGAUCACGUAGGUAGAUGUAGGGGGAUCAAUGAGAUGUAGGCCGUGUAGUGAUUGGUUAUGCAAGCAUGGAUUUGAAGACUAAAUGUGUGAUUAAGAGAGUUGUGAGUAUUGUAGUGGAGGUAACUGACCGCCCAACCAUCCGGGUGG